GGAUAUAUUUUGACUUUAUUUAAUGACUUCCUUAGUUUGGGAUUAAUUGUCAUUAGCAUGUUCCAAUGAGACUGAAAAUGUUGUUUUUUUGUAAGAUGAAUAAUAAUUUUACCUGGCGUAGCCGUGUGUAAAGUGUAUUUCGGCAUUUCUCUCCGAAAAAAUGACUUGUUGAUUGGAAUAAAACGUUUUAUUUGUAAACUUUUUCUGUUUUUCUCCGCAAUUGACUAUUAAAAAAUAAUCUAUUUACUGUGUAUUUUGAAAAUUUUGUGAAAAUAGGAGAAUUUGCAUUUCUUACCUUUCAUACCUAUACUUUCAUUGAUAAAACAUAACAUGGACUCAUCCAGUGUCCAGUUUGAAGGUCAUUUUAGUUACUGUCACAUUCAUGCACGUUCGGAUUUAAUCAAUAGUCAUGUAUGAAAAGUGUAAACAGUUUGAAGGUAAACUAAUAAUAACUUAACCCAAUCAAAUUGCGUAAUAUUUAAUAACAAUGACCGGUCCACAUUAUAAUAAGUAAUAGGGGUAAACUGGGUAGGAAGAAAAUGUGAGAUAUUCAAAAUUUAU
rnacentral:lncRNA from 1 species